rnacentral:rRNA from 1 species
CCUACGGGUGGCUGCAGUCGAGAAUCAUUCACAAUGGGGGAAACCCUGAUGGUGCGACGUCGCGUGGGGGAAUGAAGGUCUUCGGAUUGUAAACCCCUGUCAUGUGGGAGCAAAUUAAAAAGAUAGUACCACAAGAGGAAGAGACGGCUAACUCUGUGCCAGCAGCCGCGGUAAUACAGAGGUCUCAAGCGUUGUUCGGAAUCACUGGGCGUAAAGCGUGCGUAGGCUGUUUCGUAAGUCGUGUGUGAAAGGCGCGGGCUCAACCCGCGGACGGCACAUGAUACUGCGAGACUAGAGUAAGGGAGGGGGAACCGGAAGGCGCGGUGUAGAGGUGAAAUGCGUAGAUAUCGAGAGGAACACUGGGGGCGAAGGGGGGUUCUUGGACAUUAACGGACGCGGAGGCACGAAGGCCAGGGGAGCGAAAGGGAUUAGAUACCCGGGUAGUC